rnacentral:rRNA from 3 species
CGACUCUCGGCAACGGAUAUCUCGGCUCUCGCAUCGAUGAAGAACGUAGCGAAAUGCGAUACUUGGUGUGAAUUGCAGAAUCCCGUGAACCAUCGAGUCUUUGAACGCAAGUUGCGCCCGAAGCCUUCUGGCCGAGGGCACGUCUGCCUGGGUGUCACG